rnacentral:rRNA from 1 species
CCUACGGGUGGCAGCAGUGGGGAAUAUUGCACAAUGGGGGAAACCCUGAUGCAGCGACGCCGCGUGAGCGAUGAAGUAUUUCGGUAUGUAAAGCUCUAUCAGCAGGGGAGAAAAUGACGGUACCUGACUAAGAAGCCCCGGCUAACUACGUGCCAGCAGCCGCUGUAAUACGUAGGGGGCAAGCGGUAUCCGGAUUUACUGGGUGUAAAGGGAGCGUAGACGGCGAUGCAAGCCAGAUGGGAAAGCCUGGGGCUCAACCCCGGGACUGCAUUUGGAACUGUAGAGCUGGAGUGUCGGAGAGGCAGGCGGAAUGCGUAGUGUAGCGGUGAAAUGCGUAGAUAUUAGGAGGAACACCAGUGGCGAAGGCGGCCUGCUGGCCGAUGACUGACGUUGAGGCUCGAAAGCGUGGGGAGCAAACAGGAUUAGAUACCCCAGUAGUC